rnacentral:lncRNA from 1 species
GAUGUUUGCUGAUCAGGCGAAGAAGAGAGGAAUGACCUUGAGGAAGAGUCAAGAACAUGGUGAACCUCUUGGCCAUCGCAACCCGACGGCUCAGGCGACAAUGAACAUGGGUAUUUCUAGCCCAUCAAUCUACAGGGCUCAGGUCCUGCACAUGGUAUAUCUAGCCCAUCAAUCUGCAUGAUAUAUGUUCCUACACUACACUGUGUCGCCGCGCCAAUCUGUAGCUCAGAUUUCCUUGUCUUUGUCUAACAAUCCCUUUCUUUUGCCAGGCUAUCGACUUGCUUGCUGUCGGGCGAGAUUGGUUGCAACUUGUCUGCCUCGAUUCUAAUUCUCUGUGUUAUCCAUCUACAUAUGCCUACCAUUGUCAGCUAUGUUUCUAGCCCAAACAGCUGUAGUCAGAUUUCCUUGCCUUUGGCUGGCCAUCCCUUUCUUUUGCCACGCCAUCGACUUGCUUGAUGUCGGGUGAGAUUGGAUGCAACCUGGUUGCCUCGAUUCUAAUUCUCCGCAUUAUCCAUCUACAUAUGCCUACGAUUGCCAGCUAUGUUUUCUGCCCAAACAACAUAUGUAAAGUAUGCUGGUGGAACUGAGAGAGAAUUUAAGAGGGGAAGACAGAGUGAGAGAGACAAAAUGUUAGGGAAAAAGAUAGCUAGGUAACAAAAGUUGUGGUAUAUAGGUUGUUGUAAAAUCGGUUUCUACUCUCCAGGUUGUUAUAAAAUCGGUUGCUACUCUCCUGUUUAAU